GGGAGAGAUGGAGCUUUGAUGUGGGAGGCUGUUGUCUCUGGAUAAAGCUUUAUAUUAUUAUGUAAAACAUGAAGGGCACUGGUUAGAAAACUGCUGAUUAAUUUAAGAACUCUGUCUUCUCCGGCUCUUCCCCCUCCUUUGUGUAAGGAGUGAGGGGGAGGCAGAAUCACUUGAGAAACGAACCUCUUAGUCCCGGGCUCACGGCAGAGGACAACAGUGGAAGGGAGAGGUGGUACCACCACCGCCUGGCCCGGCCCGAAGCUCCGCGCGGCUGGAGCGGGGGCUGGCACCCAUCCGGCACCCCAGGGGCUGCUCCGCUGCCAGGGCCUCUUGCCCCAGCCCGGCCGGCGCUGCCGCCGAAGGCAUAAUGAGAACAGUACGCCCCUCACCCCCAAAAAUCAAUACGGAGACCUAGGGGGUCACCUAAUUGGAUACUGCUCGCCGAGAGGCCGUUACAAUAAGAAACCCAACCACACCACUUCAGAAUGUCUGCGAGAUCGUAAAUCAUAUUCCGAGCCCGGCUCAGCCUUCUCUCUGUCUCGAUGCUUCAUUGAUCCCAUGCUGUCGCUCCCCCCUGCAUGAGAGAGCUGGCGGCGGACGCGGCUGCUGCCGAGCCGGGCUGUGCCGAGCCCGGCCGCCCUGCCUUGGCUGGACAGGCGGUGCUCCAGGCUCCCAGGGAUGUCCUUUGGUGGUUUUUCUUAGCAAGUUAACCGUUUAUCUUUUUAGCAAAGAAAUUAAUUUGGAUUUGCUGCUUUAUUUGUUUUGGUGCUGGCUUUGGAAACAACCCAAGGAUGUCAGCUAAAUAAAAGAUGCUGGGAUCUGUUCCUCUUAUGCUGGGCUGGACCUUCCCACCCAAGGCCGCGCCAGGGGAGCAGACCUAGUCUCCCUUUCAUCUAGGACUUUGCUGUUCUCUAGUUAUUCUGCAGUUACAGAAACCACAAGGCUGGAAGAGGGGAAGAAAAAAGAAAAGAUUAAAUUAAUGAGCAGCGUCCCAGGUGUCCCCCGCUUUGACAUGCAGAAUAUUCCCAGACAGCGCCGGCUUCGGGGCAGCCCAGGAGCGAUAAAGCUUCAGCCUCUGCUACAGUCUCAGCUUUGCUUCUCACUACAUAAAGGUCUCUGUAUCUGGCAUUUGAUGGCCUCAGCCUCGUAAGUAGCCAUAAAAAUGUAAGGGCAACUACACCUUAAGGUAUUGUUUCCCCAUCAUCUCUCCCUGAUACACACGAGCGCGUUGCCGCGUGUUACCAGCCGCUCCUGGCUGGGGAGAAACGACGAGAAUCAGUUACGAGCAGCAUCACAGGAGGGAGAUUUAAAGGCCACCUCCUCUUUGCUCUUCAUUAGAAACCUCUUUGGUAAGCAACCCCGCUUGCACCACUCGGCGUAGCCGAGCUGAAGUUCCAGCAGUCGGGAAGCCUCCGGAGACGUGUGACGGUGCUGCCCGGGCGCUGCUCCGACGCCAGGCGGGGAAGGGAGGCGGGUCCCGGGGUACGGACAAAAGACGCCAGGUCCCCGAGGAGCCGUUGGGAGAGCCUUAAAGCUGGUGGGUAUGUCUGAUGUCAGCUUUCAUCGUUUCAUGGAUCCCACUGAACCUACAUCCAUCAGUUAGAGGCUUUCAAAGUGCAGGGGAAUAAAGCUCCUCAUCUAUAACGGCCCCAAAAAUGCCUUUUGGCAGCUUUAUUGCCUGCCACAUGCGGGGAAAGGAGCACAUGCAGUCUAAGAACCAGAAACCACCUCAAUAAUUCUAUUAGUAACCAACAAAAGUUAGGGCGAGGGGAGCUUUGUUUUCUCCAAGGGAGAGAGAGCAACCCAGGGCUGCUGGAGCUCUCCGGAGGAGCACUGGCAUGGAUCUCAAGCUGGUUUGGACCUCGACGCCACUGCUGGGAGCCUUGCGUGCUGCCGAUGGGAGCCUGGUGAGUAGGAAGAGGUUUGUACCCACCAGGAAAACCGGCCCCACGUGAAUCUGUGGCGGAAACCUCCAGAGCGUGCGCAUUGACCCCAGGAGGGAUGCGUUAAACCUGCAGGUACGAUGCCGCAACCGGCAUGGCGCGAACUCCACUGCCGGCCUUCACGAGCACAGGAAAGGUCUGCCCGGGCAGCGGGCGUAGGCUGGAGGCAGCACGGCAGGUCUCUGCCGGACCUGCCUGCUCUGUCAGAACAAGCUGGCAUCAAAGCCAGCCCCAGAGCUCGGCCUCGUCCCGCUGCCUCAUCCGCUUCGUCGCUCCCGGCGGCACGAGGCUACAGAUGGGUCCCUUUCCAUCCCUCCGACCCCAUGGGGCUGCGUCUCGCUGCAAUUCCCCAACCCCAUGAAAAGAGUCAGGUAGAGCAAGCCUCGGAAGCCGGGCUCGGUGUGCAGGCUGCCGGGGGUGCGGACCCCGCGCUGGCCCCCCCCCCGGGGUGCCAGCCCCUGGCUCCGGCAGCGGCCGCGCCGGCAGAUGGGCUCCCGGCGUCCAGAUGUUGUCACCGGGAAGCCCUGUCAGGGGUUGCUGGCCGGGGUCUCGUUCUCGCCUGUCAGACUUGACAUCUUCAGCGUAUAAUUAAAUGCCAGGACGCGAGCGGCAGAGCAGGUGCAUGCUAAUGAGGAGAUCAAUUUUAAUUAUGAUUUUAAUUAAACACCCAAUCCAGUAGGAAAUAUGACAAGCAGGCUAGAAACGCAAAAUUUAUAAUGGGGAAGAAGAACGGCGCGAGAGAGGGAAGAAGGAAGCGAGGCGCGUGCACGAGCAGAGCGAUGGGGAAACGGCUUCGUGAGGGCCAAGCAGCUAACGGGCAGGGGCGAGGGGCGUCCUGCUCGGGCCCCAGCAGCCCCCGGGCUUUCUGCCGGGGCAGGCGCCGCGUCCCCAGAAGCCUUGCUGGCAGCGGGAGGUCGUAGCUCGUUCCCCAGUCAAUGGGGCGUGGGUGAAACCCCUCCGGGCCUUCACUUGCCUCUGCAAGGCGUCGCGGCUGCCCUCCCCUGCUCCCCGCGAGCCACCUACACGCCGAUUUAUUACUGGGGGGGGGCGUAAGUACAAAGCACAGUUAGGUAGAAGGAAGGACGCUUUGGUGGUGACGAGACAGGGCUGAAACGGGGGCAUCUCGGUCGGGUCCCUAGCUCCAAGAGCCGGCCCCCGCGUCGCCGUGCCCACGCAGCGCCGAAGGAGGGCCGGGGCCCCUCUCGGCUCCGCCGCCUCGCCGGCCCGGCUGCGUGGGCUGCACGCUCUUCAGGCUGGCUGAUGGCUGGCGGCGAAUCACUCCUCUCAGCGGGAUGCUCUCAGCACAAUCAGAAGACAAAAAAAGAAGCUGAAAAUUUCAAGAGUUUCCAUAAUUUGAUGAGGAAAGCUCAAAACCCCCCCAUAUUUAACAUUCUGUUGUUGUUUUUGCCAGCGCCUGGGUUUUGUAGGGCCUAUACAAACCCCGUGGCUGGGCGGUUUGGCGGCAGCGCUGCGAGGAGGGAGCUCGGGCAUUGCCUUCGCUGCUGCCCGGCCCCGGCGGCGGCCGGAUGCCUCGCGCUGGAAGCCGAAGGCAAUGCGACCGCUCCGCUUCUUAAAAACAGAUGUGUCAAUUUAGACUCGGUGGCAAAACACAGGAGGAGGGGGAAAUCAGCUCGAUGGGAGCCAGCUGAGAAAGGAGCAAAACAGGGCGAGGAGAGGCUAUCUGCCAGGGACUCGCAUGCUCUUGUAAACCACAGGGUGUGCAACUGCAGCGUAGGAAUCGGCUAUAAAAGGAAUUACCACUAAAUGGAGAUCUCUGGCAAGAGGCUUUAGAGAGGCCUGUGUUACGGAGGGGGGGCUGUGGUUUUGGAUCACAGAUCAGAGGGAACCUUUGGGAUCUCUCAGUGUACAGCCCGGUACAUUUGGCUGCUGUGGAUUAACUCCUGUGUGAACUCAGCCGUGCUUCAAAAGAGCAAAUCCCUCCCUGAAUUACAGUCUCCCCAGAACAGGAAACCCUCCAUCUCUCCUGCCGUGGCUAAAUUCCACCUCGUUACUCAUCCAAAUCUGCCUCCUGAACUUGUUACCUUCGCGGCAUUAUGGGAAGCCUUUAACGGAGCGAUCGGUGAACCACUGAAAUCAGAUUUUUCUCUUCCCGGCACAGGUGGAUCCAGGGCAGCUCGUGCCACAGCGGCCGCUUGAGCUCCCGAGCGGCGGGGGCAGCCCGAGGCAGCCCGUCCCCUCCCUGCACGACGGAGGGACGAGGAGCGGGGAUGCUCUGCUGGUCCGAGGCCCCGGUAGAGCAACGGGAGCGAAAAAAAGUGUUCCCUGCCACCUGGCCAUUACCCCAUUCAUCCAGGACAUUGGAUCUCCCGGGCUGGACGCCGGUGGAGGCGAAGACCGCCGCUUAUUGCCUGUGGGCAGAUCACCUGCCCUAACGGCGCUGUGGCUUGGUAAAGGCUUCUGAAGUGCUACCUCAGUGGACCCGUAACAAUAAUUAUAAUGACUGGCCAGGGUGCCAAACGCCAUUAACAUCCACGGAGUUCAGCUCCUGAGCAACAGCCAUUAAAAUUAAUGCCUUUGGGAGGCUUUUUCCCAACAUUUCUUCGGUGGGCUCACGCUGUUGCCGUUCUCCCUGGUGGAUUUUUGUGCUGGUGAAAACACAAUGAAAAGAGUGAACUUAAUAGAGAAAAAAACAUGCACAAAAAGCUAGUAAUGCUACAAAACGUUGUGCUACUCCUGCAUCUUCUGAGAUUUCCGUGUGUAAAUAAAGAAUCCGGCUUUGCUCCCUCUGACAGACUUGCUGGAAGCGCUCCCGAUAAAGCUCCUUACGAAACACCGCUGUUGUCUAAGGACGCGAGUUCUUUGAGCCGCACUCGCGGGUCCUUGGGACGUCACGGGCAGAGCCUUUCGCGGGGCUUGGAGGCGCAAGAAAUCCCCCCACUCCACCCCACGUCUCCCCUCCGGGCAGCCUAUGCAUGAGGCAAGUGUUUCACGUUAAUGCGGAUUGACAUAUGGUAGGGUUUUUUUUAAAAAAAGUAGUUCUGCUCGUUCCCCAGGCAGUUUUGAUGUGAAUAUUAAUAUUAACGUAAUUUCAUGAUGAUUAGAGAACACAAUUAGGGGCUAUUAAUAAUGACACAAAUAAUGACAUUUAAGGCCUCAUUUUCAUGUGAGUAAUACUCUGUCUGGUGGUAUUUAAACAGCUCUGUCUAGCACAAUUACUGCGGUGCCAAGGUGCAAGCGCAUAAUCGCAGUAUCAAUCACGCGGCUCCUUGCCGGCGCCUGCCCCCCUGCAGAAGGGACGGGCGGUUCGGGGUCUCCUGUCACCUGCAAGGGAGCUGGAAGGGAAGGGGGCUGCGGCGAGCGGCGAU